rnacentral:lncRNA from 1 species
UCCUUAAACACGAAACCUCCAUUGAAUAUUAAAUCUAAAGUCCUUUACCUUCCUUAUCAAGUACUACACUUAUAUUACGUCCGUCUUCACUACACCAAGUACCAUGAAUUAAAUCUUACUAAUCCUCACCAACUUUUCCAUACUUAAUCUUUUUUUUUUUAUAGACAGUUACUUAUCUUGCUCUUAUUCUCGAAUAAUCACAAAAAUGUUCUCCGAUACUUAUACUUAGCACGUUCUUCCAACGACUAACUUUCCCAUUCCAUAUCUUUUGUUAAUGACACUUCGCACUUAACUUCAUCUUUUAUUCCAAAAUCUCAUUCGAAAUUUUCCAACGUACUUUUUCACUUAAUGAUUCCAACAUUCUGAUUCCGACUGUAACCUUCUCCUAUAAUUCUUCUCUUGAGCUCGGUUAAAUCCAACAUAUAAA